CAACCAACGACCUUGCAGGCUGAGAUCGUCCGGGUGGGCUCCCCACCCCAGAUCCGACGCAUCGGAGACUAGGGUAACUGACAGGGACGGGAUUGCAAAGGGGACUCCCUCCAACACCAAUAAGGGAUUCAGUCAUCAUGUGAUUGACGACAGUAUGUGGUCCGGUACCUUGACCACGUUAUAUGUUGUAUCUGUUGGGGACGUAGACCGAUGCCAGCCAUGCCUGUAGGAGACUGAGAUGGAGCUGCGCAUACCAGACCAUAGACCCAGAUCAUGACACAUGGAGAGAACCAGAUCGAGGUGCCACCACACCUGAUCCAAGGACCGGCCCUUCAUUAACCUGUCAUUGAGGUACUGGUAAAUCUGAACACCCCUCUGGCUCAGGUAAGCAACCACUGGUGCUAUGCACUUUGUAAACACUCUUGGUGCUAAUGAGAGGCUGUGACAAAGUGUGUGUGUGGGGGGGUUCUUGGUUUCUCCUUGUUUUUCCAAUGGUUUGUAUGUAGAGGGGAAGGGACUCAGUUUCCCUGGGUGUUACUGGUUUAACAAAGUGAUGGGAGAGGGAGUUUGUUGUUACAGGGGUCCAGCGACAGAAGUUGGGACCCCAGCCAAUGGUCUGGAGAAUGGAUACCCCAGCGACUGGUGACUUGGCAAACCGGAGGCCCAGCUCAGGAGUUGCAGCUGGUUCCGGCCAGUGGGAGGACAAUAGGCUGCGGAGGGAGGACAUCUGGUGACCUGACCAGCCGAUUCCAGUCACGGGGGCUAGAGGACAGAAGAGAGGAAAGGAGGGCCAGGCGACCCUCUUUACCUGGAGAGAAGACAAUGGACUGAGCUGGGGCUUGGGGGAGGUGAUAUCAGAUGCCCAGCUGGAAAGCGCAGGGGCUCUGGGCUGGGGAGAUAGAGCAGGCAGAGCCCACCUGAAUGCAAGGGAGACUUGGAUAUGCUGUACUGACAGAGUCCAGGCCUGGGGGCCUGAGAGUUUCCUGUGCUGGGUUCAGACACUCACUAAACCCUCCUGUUUUAUGCUGUCUGAGAGUCACUUGGGUCUAAAGAUCAGGGUUGCAUUAUUCCCUGUGGGAAUGGAGGCCCUGGGGGUCCAGAGCGAGUGGACUCCCUGAGGGGGCCCAUGGCGAGAAAAAGGUGUGCUAAGGCUCAGAGAGGUGCAGUUCCAGGAGGUGGAGGGGUUUAACCCCCAAGAGUGGACUACCGAGAAGGGCUGUCUCAUUGAAGGGGGUUCCCCCCAGGGACCACACGGGGCCAAGAGUGGGUAUGACCUGUGAGUCCAUGACAGAGGCCAAAGGGUAGUGCCAUGAAUUGGAAAUGGCGCUGGCCCAACACAAAAUGGAGGAACCGUGAGUGUCCUUGGAAGAGGGAGAUAUGGAAAUAUGCAUCAUUCAAGUCGAGGGUGGUGUACCAGUUUCCCAGAUUCAAGGAGGGAAUGAUGGAGGCCAGGGAAAUCAUGUGGAUCAUCAACUUUUUGAUAUACUUGCUGAGGUGUCACAGAUCCAGGAUACGCCUCAGGCAAGGUUCCUUCUAAUUUUUUCCAUCCAUGUGCAGAAUUAAUUUUGUUAUGUGCAGCACCAAUAUCAAGAUAAUGUGCAGAUGUGCACAACAAGCACAAAUGAAAAACCUAGCUAUAACACACCAAAAUGUGGCAUAGUGAAAACAGAUAUAUAAAUAAAACAAAAUCAUGGCCAUUAAUUGAAAACAUACAAAAUAUGCUCCUGAGUCCCAAUUUAAUAACCUACUCCUAUCAUAGACCACUAAAUCUUCAGGGAAAGCUGCUCUCGAAAAAUGAAGCAUCUGCCAAAACACUAACAUGCUACAGACUUUUGCAGGUCACAAAACUGUCCCUCUUGCAUGCAUAUUAUCUGCACAUGUAGCUCAGCUUUAAGAUGCUAAACAAAUCUCUGAGUCAACUAGAAAUAGUCAUGCUCUCAUCACAAAUAUUAAUACAGUAUUUUCUGAUACUGAAAAGGAGAGUAAAAGGUAUUCACUCAGGUUAUACAAUUUCUCUAGGAUGUCAACUCUUAAUUUGAUUAAUACUUCACACACACAGAACAGUAAAAAUAAGUAAUACAGCGACACAAACAGCAAACAAACAAAC